AUCCAGCUGACGAGUCCUAAAUAGGACGAAACUGGAU
rnacentral:hammerhead_ribozyme from 1 species